UACGGAGGGUGCAAGCGUUAUCCGGAUUCACUGGGUUUAAAGGGUGUGUAGGCGGGUAUUUAAGUCAGUGGUGAAAUCUCCGGGCUCAACCCGGAAACUGCCAUUGAUACUAUUUAUCUUGAAUCUUGUUGAGGUAGGCGGAAUAUAUCAUGUAGCGGUGAAAUGCUUAGAUAUGAUAUAGAACACCGAUUGCGAAGGCAGCUUACUAAACAGGCAUUGACGCUGAGGCACGAAAGCGUGGGGAUCAAACAGG
rnacentral:rRNA from 2 species